rnacentral:tRNA from 2 species
GGAGGGAUGGCAGAGCGGACGAUUGCGACGGUCUUGAAAACCGUUGGGUCGCAAGACCCCGGGGGUUCGAAUCCCCCUCCCUCCGCCA